GUAGGUGAACCUGCGGAAGGAUCAUUAUUGAAUAAACUUGGGUUAGGUUGUUGCUGGCUCUUAGGGGCAUGUGCACGCCGACUCCAUUUUUAACCACCUGUGCACCUUGCGUAGAUCUGAUAGUCUCGAGGAAACUCGGUUUGAGAAUUGCUGUGCAAACAGCUCUUCUUGUAAUCAGGUCUAUGUUUCUAUAUACCCCACAUGAAUGUAUUUUGAAUGUCGUAAUUGGCCUUUGUGCCUUUAAAAACAAAUACAACUUUCAACAACGGAUCUCUUGGCUCUC
rnacentral:misc_RNA from 1 species